UACGGAGGAUGCAAGCGUUAUCCGGAUUUAUUGGGCGUAAAGCGUCCGCAGGUGGUUUUACAAGUCUGCUGUUAAAGCGCGAGGCUUAACCUCGUACAGGCAGUGGAAACUGUGAGACUAGAGUAUGGUAGGGGUAGCGGGAAUUCCCAGUGUAGCGGUGAAAUGCGUAGAUAUUGGGAAGAACACCAGCGGCGAAAGCGCGCUACUGGGCCAUUACUGACACUCAUGGACGAAAGCUAGGGGAGCGAAAGGG
rnacentral:rRNA from 1 species